UACGUAGGGGGCUAGCGUUGUUCGGAUUCACUGGGCGUAAAGGGCUCGUAGGCGGCCAACUAAGUCAGACGUGAAAUCCCUCGGCUUAACCGGGGAACUGCGUCUGAUACUGGAUGGCUUGAGGUUGGGAGAGGGAUGCGGAAUUCCAGGUGUAGCGGUGAAAUGCGUAGAUAUCGUAAGGAAGACCAGUGGCGAAGGCGGGUCUCUGGACAGUUCCUGACGCUGAGGCACGAAGGUCAGGGGAGCAAACGGG
rnacentral:rRNA from 1 species